rnacentral:lncRNA from 1 species
CCGAGACAAUUUGUUGUAAUUCCUUUCCAUGUAUUUAUUUUGGGGGGGUGUCAUAUGAGACAUAUUGAUGUCUCCUCCUGGAACAAGUCUAUUUUUUUCUAAGGGUCUUUAGGAGGGCAUGACUAGUUGGCCACCAGCUAGGGCUGGGCCCAGUUGGCUACCGUAAGCCUACGGAGAUCUUGAGUUGUGCCUUUACUCCUUGUAGACCAUCCCCCUUGUCUACAAUGGAGGCGAGAAUUACUGAAACAAUUGUGUUG